AGAGAGAAGGGAUAAGCACCGUGGGCCUUGUAGAAACGAAUCUUAUGUUUGAUUAAGUGCGCAAAUUUUACAAUUCGCAAACAGGAACGUGAAUUUUCUCUGCGAGAUUCUUAUAUCUCCUGCAAGAAUUCAAUGGAAAGGAUCCAUAAAGAAAUAUAAUACUAUGGACAUUUACAUUACCAAUUUAACUCCAAACGCCGCAUCAAACUCUUCUUGCGAGAUCUACAAUUAUAUGUACAAACAUUACAUAAAAUAAUAAAAAAUGCGAAAAUUAUAG